rnacentral:lncRNA from 1 species
AGAAUGCCAUCCAAGAAGGGUUGGCUUUGUGGGUAGAGACUUAAGUUCCUGUAUAAAUGAAUUAACAACAAACAACCUCGUUUUACUUUGUAGUGUAAGGUUUUAUAUAAAAGUAGGCAAGCAACAAAGCAUGGACAUAUGACAUGUACUGGUAGAUUUAGUCAUUUAGAUGUAGAAAGUGAUUUUUGGGAAGUAAAGAAGUAUUCGUUCUAUUAAUGGGAGUGAUUUUUGGAUUGUGGGACCUGGUAAAUUUGAAAGCUUCUUCAGCACUGGCCUUCUGUUUAUUUUGGGGUUUCAUGUUCAGGCUUAGUAAUUGAUGAGUG